GGGUCAUUAGCUCAGUUGGCAGAGCACCUGACUUUUAAUCAGGGCGUCCGGCGUUCGAGUCGCCGAUGGCCCACCA
rnacentral:tRNA from 1 species